CAUAGGUUAAUGAGGCGAACCGGGGGAACUGAAACAUCUAAGUACCCCGAGGAAAAGAAAUCAACCGAGAUUCCCCCAGUAGCGGCGAGCGAACGGGGAGCAGCCCAGAGCCUGAAUCAGUGUGUGUGUUAGUGGAAGCGUCUGGAAAGGCGCGCGAUACAGGGUGACAGCCCCGUACACAAAAAUGCACAUGCUGUGAGCUCGAUGAGUAGGGCGGGACACGUGGUAUCCUGUCUGAAUAUGGGGGGACCAUCCUCCAAGGCUAAAUACUCCUGACUGACCGAUAGUGAACCAGUACCGUGAGGGAAAGGCGAAAAGAACCCCGGCGAGGGGAGUGAAAAAGAACCUGAAACCGUGUACGUACAAGCAGUGGGAGCACGCUUCGGCGUGUGACUGCGUACCUUUUGUAUAAUGGGUCAGCGACUUAUAUUCUGUAGCAAGGUUAACCGAAUAGGGGAGCCGAAGGGAAACCGAGUCUUAACUGGGCGUUAAGUUGCAGGGUAUAGACCCGAAACCCGGUGAUCUAGCCAUGGGCAGGUUGAAGGUUGGGUAACACUAACUGGAGGACCGAACCGACUAAUGUUGAAAAAUUAGCGGAUGACUUGUGGCUGGGGGUGAAAGGCCAAUCAAACCGGGAGAUAGCUGGUUCUCCCCGAAAGCUAUUUAGGUAGCGCCUCGUGAAUUCAUCUCCGGGGGUAGAGCACUGUUUCGGCAAGGGGGUCAUCCCGACUUACCAACCCGAUGCAAACUGCGAAUACCGGAGAAUGUUAUCACGGGAGACACACGGCGGGUGCUAACGUCCGUCGUGAAGAGGGAAACAACCCAGACCGCCAGCUAAGGUCCCAAAGUCAUGGUUAAGUGGGAAACGAUGUGGGAAGGCCCAGACAGCCAGGAUGUUGGCUUAGAAGCAGCCAUCAUUUAAAGAAAGCGUAAUAGCUCACUGGUCGAGUCGGCCUGCGCGGAAGAUGUAACGGGGCUAAACCAUGCACCGAAGCUGCGGCAGCGACGCUUAUGCGUUGUUGGGUAGGGGAGCGUUCUGUAAGCCUGUGAAGGUGUGCUGUGAGGCAUGCUGGAGGUAUCAGAAGUGCGAAUGCUGACAUAAGUAACGAUAAAGCGGGUGAAAAGCCCGCUCGCCGGAAGACCAAGGGUUCCUGUCCAACGUUAAUCGGGGCAGGGUGAGUCGACCCCUAAGGCGAGGCCGAAAGGCGUAGUCGAUGGGAAACAGGUUAAUAUUCCUGUACUUGGUGUUACUGCGAAGGGGGGACGGAGAAGGCUAUGUUGGCCGGGCGACGGUUGUCCCGGUUUAAGCGUGUAGGCUGGUUUUCCAGGCAAAUCCGGAAAAUC
rnacentral:rRNA from 1 species